rnacentral:rRNA from 1 species
AUUGAACGCUGGCGGCAUGCUUUACACAUGCAAGUCGAACGGUAACAGGCCGCAAGGUGCUGACGAGUGGCGAACGGGUGAGUAAUGCAUCGGAACGUGCCCAGUCGUGGGGGAUAACUAUCCGAAAGGAUAGCUAAUACCGCAUACGAUCUGCGGAUGAAAGCGGGGGACCUUCGGGCCUCGCGCGAUUGGAGCGGCCGAUGUCAGAUUAGGUAGUUGGUGGGGUAAAGGCUCACCAAGCCAACGACAUGUAGCUGGUCUGAGAGGACGACCAGCCACACUGGGACUGAGACACGGCCCAGACUCCUACGGGAGGCAGCAGUGGGGAAUUUUGGACAAUGGGCGCAAGCCUGAUCCAGCAAUGCCGCGUGCAGGAAGAAGGCCUUCGGGUUGUAAACUGCUUUUGUACGGAACGAAACGGCUCUGGUUAAUACCUGGGGCUAAUGACGGUACCGUAAGAAUAAGCACCGGCUAACUACGUGCCAGCCGCCGCGGUAA